rnacentral:RNase_P_RNA from 2 species
AAGAGUUGGUGCUGCGGUUGCAGAUUAGGUUUGCUCUAAUCUGAGGAAAGUCCGGGCUCCUGAAAGGUCAGGCUUGCUGGGUAACGCCCAGUGCGGGUGACCGUGAGGAUAGUGCCACAGAAACAUACCGCCGAUGGGUCGGGGUAGGCCUUGUGCUUACCCACACCACAGGUAAGGGUGCAAAGGUGCGGUAAGAGCGCACCAGCAGCAUCGAGAGGUGCUGGCUCGGUAAACCCCGGCUAGGAGCAAGGUCGCAGGGGCUAUGGUUGACCUUUUUCCAGCCCCGCUUUUGGUGUACCGCUAGAGGCAACUGGUAACAGUUGUCCCAGAUAGAUAACCGCCCGUUGAUGGUGACAUCAUCGAGAACAGAACCCGGCUUACGGCUGACUCUUUCCA